CACGACAGGCUAACCUUAUCCUCUCACUUACUGAAGCGAACCUCUCUCUUGCUCCGUUGCGCUGCCCCAUCCUAUGCUUCCCCGCCGCUGCCGCCAUCUCCUCCCGUUGGCGGCUCGCUCCGCCCAACACAUCGUUCACCCACCCCCCCCCCCCCCCCCGGCCACCCCAGCUAGCAGGCUGCCAAGACCCCUCAUAGACCCCCAUGGAGGCGGCGGGCUUGUUGAAGCAACGGCUGGAGGAGGCCAUCGACUGCAUCAUGAACCCGCAUCACGGCACCCCCGUUCCACCGUGGUGACAAGCACUUCCACUUCCACAACUCCAGCCUCUAGACGUGGAGCGUACUCAACGAGUGCAGAACUGAGGAGCACUGUCGGUUCAUCUGGCCUGCAAUUUGAUUAUGCAACUCAACAUUUAGUUGCUCAAGGUUUAAAUAUAUCAGGUUUGUUAUGAACCCGUUGUCUCAGUGUCAGUGUUGACUGUGUGCUGCCGUUUUGUAGUGGACUUGCUAGACGGACUAUCUAAAAUAAGAGGCUUUACUCGAUGCUUAUAAUCAAAGGAGCAUUCCAAAAAGAAAGGUUCCAGUGUGAAUGAUAAUAAUGACAACCCUGCUUAUGAAAUGACUCCGGAUGGUCAGCGACAGAAGGAUGGUUCAACCGAUCUUUCAUCAAGCAAAGAAGCAAAAGCUGAUUCUCACAAAGUGCAUACAACUGGUGAUCCGCAUGAGAGUAAAAUACAUACAAUUUGAUAUCUUUUCUAGUGAUCCGCUAUUUCCUGAUGGGGAAGUUCUUCAAACAAAGUGCAUCUCCAGUUUCCCUGAUGAUCCACAUGAUAAUAAAAUACAAAUCAGAAAAGGUAUGAAACAACAGUUUGAAAACUGCAUACAGCCUAGAGGCGUGGUUAUGUACCUUUACUCUCCCUGAUGAUUCCAGGAGUUCUCUCGCAUAACAAUGGUGCAGGGUACCCUUUAUAUGCAUGCUUUAGGAUUCUAUGGUUUCAGGCAAGUACCGAUAUGGUUGAUCUGCAAUGAUGGAGUUUCCUUUGAAAUGUGAUUGAUCCCUGAAAUGUUGCGGUUUUCUUUCUUGUACCUGACAUAAUGGUGUGUUGAUAGAUCCCUGAAAUGUUGUGUGCACUUUCCUGGAAUGCGCGAUGAAUUAAUGUUGCGAUUUCCUAUUC